rnacentral:tRNA from 2 species
GCCCCUGUAGCUCAGUGGAUAGAGCGUCUGCCUCCGGAGCAGAAGGUCGCUGGUUCGAAUCCAGUCGGGGGUA